CUCGUGGUUGUUUUUGUUUAGCGCGAUUCGCUUGUCAAAACGCGUGACGUCAUUGUUUAUUAAAAGGACGGCAGCUAAAACUCGCCUGUUGUUGAAGUCGUGACGUACUGAAAAACCUGUUUGUUGAUUGGCUAGGAGAAUACCAGCCGUUUAUUUUUUAGGGGGAUUGUCUUAGUUACGUGUAGUAUAGUCUUUUUUCAAUCUAAGUGGGCUUGUUCGCUGAACUUCUUGACUUAGAGACUACCACGAAAAGUUCAAUGUGAGCGGCCAUGCGACGCGAAAUGUGACUGUUCCUGUUGUAAAAAACGACGUGAAGUUUGUAUCAUUUAAAAAAAGCCUGAGCAUUUUUUGUUGCUAUCUUCUAGCAAGUCUGUCAUCCAAUGACUUUUCCAAGUGGAUGUGUGAAUGACUGGGGCAACUUCUGCCUGAACCUCUGGUGUUGUGCUGACGUGAUGACGCCGCAUAAUCGCCAUCAACCGUUGAAUUGGAUCCUUCAUGCCAUGAACCACACGGCCUGUGCAGUUGAACUCUGUGUGAAUAAGUUCCCCGCCUUGUUCGUUAAGAAGCCCAAAUCCAACUUUAAACUUAGUAAGCUGCUGUACUGCAUGAUCUUCGAGGAGAUGCAUCUUCGGUGAUAUGUUGACAUUAGGGAAUAGGUCACGGAACGCUGACAUAACUCCUUAAUACAUACAUCUGUAAGAGAACACAAAUGCAACCAUCAAUGAUUUAGAUACAGCAAAUGAUUAUUUCAUCAUACGUGAAGUUAUGUACUGACAUGAAACAUGUGCAGCCAGGUAUACUGGUGUGUAGUUACCUAUAUGGUGAAUGUUAUGUGAAGACAAAGGCUUUGCAUGGUUGAUGCCAUGGUGAACAUCAGCAAAUUUUAGAAAAAUUUCACGGUAUUUCCUUCCAAUAUUUGCUGAAUCUCGCACUAGAUGUCUUGAGCAGCGAUGGUGAUGUCGUCUGUGAGGUGAUGAACAUCUGUGAGGUGAUGAACUGCUUAGGAACUGCAGUCAGAGGAUCAAUCACUUCAACCUGAAACAAAGAUAAAUACUGCAGAGAUUAACGUCAAGUCAAGAAAGUACUAUUGGAAUUGGGUUUUUUUUUCUUGUUGAAACCCAUAAUAAUUGCACAUUAUCCAUUUAAAUUAUAGUGAAGAGACUUGCUGCUGUUACUUACUGUGCAACAUCUGUGUACGUGAUUACCAACAACAGCAAUCUCGCAUCAAUGCAAGGGCUCUAUUAGCAGACAUUGGUUGUUGAGUUGAUGAUGGGCUGGUCUCUAUAUUAGCUGUAGGUGUGGAUGUUGUGAUCUUUUGAACCAAAGCAGGCUGAAAGGAAAAACAAAAAUACAAAUUAUUAGAUUGGAGUGAUUGGCCAAGUGAUUACUGCUAAGUUUGAAAAA